rnacentral:sRNA from 1 species
UCUGUUUCUUCUUCUUCUUCUUCCACGU